rnacentral:rRNA from 1 species
UUGAACGCUGGGCGGCAUGCUUUACACAUGCAAGUCGAACGGGCUGCGGGGCAACCUGCAGUCAGUGGCGAACGGGUGAGUAAUACAUCGGAACGUGUCCCGUAGUGGGGGAUACCCCGGCGAAAGCCGGACUAAUACCGCAUAUGCUCUACGGAGGAAAGUGGGGGACCGCAAGCCUCACGCUAUGGGAGCGGCCGAUGUCCGAUUAGCUAGUUGGUGGGGUAAUGGCCUACCAAGGCGACGAUCGGUAGCUGGUCUGAGAGGAUGAUCAGCCACACUGGGACUGAGACACGGCCCAGACUCCUACGGAGGCAGCAGUGGGGAAUUUUGGACAAUGGGGCAACCCUGAUCCAGCCAUGCCGCGUGCGGGAGAAGGCCUUCGGGUUGUAAACCGCUUUUUGGUCGGAGAAAAGGCGCUGGCGAACACCUGGCGAACUUGACGGUACCGCAGAAUAAGCACCGGCUAACUACGUGCCAGCAGCCGCGGUAAUACGAGGGUGCGAGCGUUAAUCGGAAUUACUGGGCGUAAAGCGUGCGCAGGCGGUUCGUUGUGUCCAAUGUGAAAGCCCCGAGCUUAACUUGGGAAUGGCAUUGGAAACUGACGGGCUGGAGUGUGGCAGAGGGGGGUGGAAUUCCACGUGUAGCAGUGAAAUGCGAGAGAUGUGGAGGAACACCGAUGACGAGGCAGCCCCCUGGGCUGACACUGACGCUCAGGCACGAAAGCGUGGGAGCAACAGGAUUAGAUACCCUGGUAGUCCACGCCCUAAACGAUGUCAACUGGGUGUGGGGAAGCGAUUCCUUGGUACCGUAGCUAACGCGUGAAGUUGACCGCCUGGGGAGUACGGCGCAAGGUUAAAACUCAAAGGAAUUGACGGGGACCCGCACAAGCGGUGGAUGAUGUGGAUUAAUUCGAUGCAACGCGAAAACCUUACCUACCUUGAAAUGUCAUGAAGCCUGGUGGAGAGCUGGGCGUGCCCGCAAGGGAACCUGGAUACCUAGGUGCUGCAUGGCUGUCGUCAGCUCGUGUCGUGAGAUGUUGGGUUAAGUCCCGCAACGAGCGCAACCAUUAGUCCUUCAGUUGCUACGCAUUAGUGAGCACUCUAGGACGACGCCUCGGUGAUAACCGGAGGAAGGUGGGGAUGACGUCAAGUCCUCAUGGCCUUAUGGGUCAGGGCUACACACGUGCAUACAAUGCCGGUACAGACCGGUGCCAAAAGCCGGAGGGGGAGCUAAUCCAGGAAAGCCGGCCUCGUAGUUCGGAUCGUAGUCUGCAACUCGACUAGCAUGAAGUCUGGAAUCGCUAGUAAUCGCGGAUCAGAUGCCGCGGUGAAUACGUUCCCGGGUCUUGUACACACCGCCCGUCACAUCCACUGGAGUGGGGUGCACCUAGAAGUCGGUGAGCCUAACUCGCAAGAGAGGCAGCCUUCCCAAGGUGUAUCAUGACUUGGGGUG